GAUGAACGCUGACAGAAUGCUUAACACAUGCAAGUCUACUUGAAUUUGGGUUUUUUAACUUAGAUUUGGGUGGCGGACGGGUGAGUAACGCGUAAAGAACUUGCCUCACAGCUAGGGACAACAUUUGGAAACGAAUGCUAAUACCUGAUAUUAUGAUUAUAAGGCAUCUUAGAAUUAUGAAAGCUAUAUGCGCUGUGAGAGAGCUUUGCGUCCCAUUAGCUAGUUGGAGAGGUAACGGCUCACCAAGGCGAUGAUGGGUAGCCGGCCUGAGAGGGUGAACGGCCACAAGGGGACUGAGACACGGCCCUUACUCCUACGGGAGGCAGCAGUGGGGAAUAUUGGACAAUGGACCAAGAGUCUGAUCCAGCAAUUCUGUGUGCACGAUGACGUUUUUCGGAAUGUAAAGUGCUUUCAGUUGGGAGGAAAAAAAUGACGGUACCAACAGAAGAAGUGACGGCUAAAUACGUG
rnacentral:rRNA from 1 species